rnacentral:rRNA from 1 species
GACGAACGCUGGCGGCGUGCUUAACACAUGCAAGUCGAACGGAAAGGCCCUGCUUUUGUGGGGUGCUCGAGUGGCGAACGGGUGAGUAACACGUGAGUAACCUGCCCUUGACUUUGGGAUAACUUCAGGAAACUGGGGCUAAUACCGGAUAGGAGCUCCUGCUGCAUGGUGGGGGUUGGAAAGUUUCGGCGGUUGGGGAUGGACUCGCGGCUUAUCAGCUUGUUGGUGGGGUAGUGGCUUACCAAGGCUUUGACGGGUAGCCGGCCUGAGAGGGUGACCGGCCACAUGGGGACUGAGAUACGGCCCAGACUCCUACGGGAGGCAGCAGUGGGGAAUAUUGCACAAUGGGCGGAAGCCUGAUGCAGCAACGCCGCGUGCGGGAUGACGGCCUUCGGGGUAUAAACCGCUUUCGCCUGUGACGAAGCGUGAGUGACGGUAAUGGGUAAAGAAGCACCGGCUAACUACGUG